rnacentral:rRNA from 1 species
GUGGGGAAUAUUGGACAAUGGGGGGAACCCUGAUCCAGCCAUGCCGCGUGUGUGAAGAAGGCCUUUUGGUUGUAAAGCACUUUAAGCGAGGAGGAGGCUACCGAGAUUAAUACUCUUGGAUAGUGGACGUUACUCGCAGAAUAAGCACCGGCUAACUCUGUGCCAGCAGCCGCGGUAAUACAGAGGGUGCAAGCGUUAAUCGGAUUUACUGUGCGUAAAGCGCGCGUAGGUGGCCAAUUAAGUCAAAUGUGAAAUCCCCGAGCUUAACUUGGGAAUUGCAUUAGAUACUGGUUGGCUAGAGUAUGGGAGAGGAUGGUAGAAUUCCAGGUGUAGCGGUGAAAUGCGUAGAGAUCUGGAGGAAUACCGAUGGCGAAGGCAGCCAUCUGGCCUAAUACUGACACUGAGGUGCGAAAGCAUGGGGAGCAAACAGGAUUAGAAACCCGGGUAGUCC